rnacentral:tRNA from 1 species
AAAAGAAAAACCAAACUAGAGGUAAAUUUUUGUUAAAAAUUUUAUUGGAUCUCCCCUUCUUUUG